GCAUCCAUGAGUUUUGAAAGAAUUUCGGUGGAGGAUGACUUCUCGGCCUAUCACCUAGUGGGUGAGGUAAUGGCUCACCAAGGCAACAACGGGUAGCCGGCCUGAGAGGGCGACCGGCCACACUGGGCACUGACACACGGCCCACACUCCUACGGGAGGCAGCAGUGGGGAAUAUUGGGCAAUGGGGGAAACUCUGACCCAGCGACGCCCCGUGCGGGAUGAAGGCCUUCGGGUUGUAAACCGCUUUCU
rnacentral:rRNA from 1 species